UGGGGAAUAUUGCGCAAUGGGGGGAACCCUGACGCAGCCAUGCCGCGUGAAUGAAGAAGGCCUUCGGGUUGUAAAGUUCUUUCGGUAUUGAGGAAGGUUGAUGUGUUAAUAGCACAUCAAAUUGACGUUAAAUACAGAAGAAGCACCGGCUAACUCCGUGCCAGCAGCCGCGGUAAUACGGAGGGUGCGAGCGUUAAUCGGAAUAACUGGGCGUAAAGGGCACGCAGGCGGUUAUUUAAGUGAGGUGUGAAAGCCCCGGGCUUAACCUGGGAAUUGCAUUUCAGACUGGGUAACUAGAGUACUUUAGGGAGGGGUAGAAUUCCACGUGUAGCGGUGAAAUGCGUAGAGAUGUGGAGGAAUACCGAAGGCGAAGGCAGCCCCUUGGGAAUGUACUGACGCUCAUGUGCGAAAGCGUGGGGAGCAAACAGGAUUAGAUACCCUGGUAGUCCACGCUGUAAACGCUGUCGAUUUGGGGAUUGGGCUUAGAGCUUGGUGCCCGUAGCUAACGUGAUAAAUCGACCGCCUGGGGAGUACGGCCGCAAGGUUA
rnacentral:rRNA from 1 species